CAGCCGCCGCGGUAAUACGUAGGGUGCAAGCGUUAAUCGGAAUUACUGGGCGUAAAGCGUGCGCAGGCGGUUCGCUAAGACAGAUGUGAAAUCCCCGGGCUUAACCUGGGAACUGCAUUUGUGACUGGCGGGCUAGAGUAUGGCAGAGGGGGGUAGAAUUCCACGUGUAGCAGUGAAAUGCGUAGAGAUGUGGAGGAAUACCGAUGGCGAAGGCAGCCCCCUGGGCCAAUACUGACGCUCAUGCACGAAAGCGUGGGGAGCGAACAGGAUUAGAUACCCCAGUAGUCCCUGUCUCUUAUAC
rnacentral:rRNA from 1 species